rnacentral:tRNA from 1 species
CGUAGCUCAGUCGGAUAGAGCGACGGAUUCCUAAUCCGUAGGUCGCAGGUUCGAAUCCUGCCGGG